AUUUCUGGACUAGGACUGUGUUUCUCAAACCCAGCAAUUUUUAAGAUGUAUGAACUUCAACUCCCAAAACUCCCUGGUCAGC